UACGGGGGGAGCAAGCGUUGUUCGGAUUUACUGGGCGUAAAGGGCGCGUAGGCGGCCACCGCAAGUCGGUUGUGAAAUCUCCGGGCUUAACCCGGAAAGGUCAAUCGAUACUGCGGGGCUAGAGUGCAGAAGGGGCAACUGGAAUUCUCGGUGUAGCGGUGAAAUGCGUAGAUAUCGAGAGGAACACCUGCGGCGAAGGCGGGUUGCUGGGCUGACACUGACGCUGAAGCGCGAAAGCUAGGGGGAGCGAACGGG
rnacentral:rRNA from 1 species